CGCAUAAGUAGUAUUACUGGUAUUACAGUGGGUCACAGAUAAAGAGAUAAAGAACAAAAUCCCUAGAAAUGAGAUGCUUAUUAUGUGCCAGCCCUGGUGGAUCUCCACCCAGCUUGAUGAGUCUCACAGUAAAUGAGCUGCGCUGUCCUUAGACUUGGGGCAGCGCAAGGGCCAGUCACACCCUCCCCACACACACUUGUUAUGCCUGCAAAGGACUGUGACUUUUCUUCACCUAUGGGCUGGGCCAGGCAUGACACUGCAAGCAAACGGGAAGCUGUGAUUUGCUGGAAGCAAAUGGGAACAUCCCCCUAGCUAAGGAACAGUCAAUAUUUGACCCUGCAAAGAUACAGUCUCAGCAACAAAUCUCAUCCCUUGGUAACUGUGUGGUUGGAAGAAGUAUGAGACUGGCCCCAGAGCUGUAAGCAGGUGGGAGAUCCUGUUGCUGUGCACGGCUGCCACUUCUGGUUUCACCAAAAGAAUGCCACAGAAGAGUGCCAUGCGACUUCCUUACGGAGGAGUACUGCUGAUGAAGGAUUUCUGUCUGCACACUUUUAAGUUUGAUUCUGCAGAGGAGGAUCAGUGUGAUCUGUUUGAAGUUUGGUGCUGGCGUGUGGGUGAUGUUACUGAGUGAUUUGCCCCAGGGCAGCCUGUGAGGUACAAGUCUCCUCAAGCAGCUAGGAUACUUUUUAUUUCAUUCAGGUGCAUGGGCAGACGCACAGAUCCCACAUUUCAGGUACCCAUGCCGGGUAAUUUAAAGGAGCAAUUCUCAGCUGUUGCCCCUAGUUACAGCUGAGGUAGAGUUAAUUUUUUCUCAGUAGCUAUUACAGGGCUGUGUUUUGGAUUUGGAAUAAGAAUGCUGUUGAUAACACACUGAUGGCUUGGUAUUUUGCCAAGUCGUGUUUAUCCUACGUCAAGGACUUUUUUUCCCCCCUUCUCUCAUGCUCCGCCAAGGAGGCGGCACGCAAAUGGAAAUGGGAGGGAGCACGGCCGGGACAGGUGACCCGAACUGACCAAAGGGAUGUCGCACACACAGAACGUCAUGCCGCGUUUUGAGCGGGGGGAGUGACCUGGGAGGGCGGAUGAUCUGGUUUUGCGAGGGGGGUCUGGCUGAGUCAGUGGGUGGUGAGCAACUGCACUGGAGCGCUUGUGGUUGCUUCAGUUAUGAAGCUCUUCUUAUGUCAACACACAAGUUUUAAUUCGAUUCUUCGCAUUCCACCGAUGUGGGAAAGGGAGGGGCGGGGGGAAGCUCAGCGGAGACCUGCUUCAUCUCCAGCUGAGCUUAAAACC
rnacentral:lncRNA from 1 species